UACAGAGGUCUCAAGCGUUGUUCGGAUUCAUUGGGCGUAAAGGGUGUGUAGGUGGCGCGCUAAGUCGGGGUGUGAAAUUUCGGAGCUUAACUCCGAAACUGCAUUCGGAUACUGGCGUGCUUGAGGACUGGAGAGGAGACUGGAAAUUCAUGGUGUAGCAGUGAAAUGCGUAGAGAUCAUGAGGAAGACCAGUGGCGAAGGCGGGUCUCUGGACAGUUCCUGACACUGAGACACGAAGGCCAGGGGAGCAAACGGG
rnacentral:rRNA from 1 species